GGGGGGCACAUGUUUUGGAAAUUUCUUUGAUGUGCAGCAACAUGUACGCUGCAUUUCUUCGUUUUAUUGAGGUAUAAAUUCGAAUUCCACCAAACACUGAAUGUUACUUUCCGAAGCAACGAAAUCUAGAUUGCGACGCGCUUUUGUAAGCCAGUCAUAGCUCAUGUCACAUGAUCUCAGCAGCUGAUGAUAGCACAGGACACGUAGAGUGGUCAACCAAUAGUAAGAUCACUCUUAAGCAGCGCGAACACACAAAAAGAAAAGUUAAUGGUUUAAAUUAAUAUACAUAGUUUUGCUAGAAGAAAAACAGCUUUCACAAAUAAUAUUGGUCUCUUAAGAUUAAUAAGCUGCAGAGAGGCUAAGCUUCCACAUAUGAUGUGGACCAUUUUCCGCGUGCCAGUAAAAUUUUUAAUAACGGCGUAAAUGUCUGAUCUUCUGGCCUCAAAAUUCUUCUAGAUGGUCGUCCUCAAAGAGUUGAUUUUUAAAUGAGAGUAAAACGCUCUGUGAUUUAAGAAAUUCAUUGUACAUUCUCGCACAUAGUUAAUCUUGCGUAAAAGAAAAAUAACAGGCGUCACUGCGCCUGCUGCGCAGCUACGACGACGCAGGAAGCUCGCAUGUUAGUAAGUGUAAAAUAUUAAACGAUCUUGCAUUAUGUCAUAAAAGAAACAAGACAUCAAAGGAUACUUCAGGAGCAUCGGAAUUUCGUGAACUAUAUUAAAAUGCAUAAUUCGGCUUCUAGUGCACAAUCGAUGUCCAGAUUCGGAUGUAAAUUUUCUUGAGUACCAGUACUGUAUUAUCUCAUGUUUGGUUCUUUAUUAUGGCAUAAUGCCAUACGAGCUAGAAAACUGAAAACGUGCACUUGAAAUACAGCGAACAGUUGAAACUAGCCAACAGUGUGAAAUUAAACACUUCGCUUCAAAUAAAUUGACUGCCUCAGCGCAAAAUAUUAAUAAAACCAAAUCUCUUUAGCAAACCGACAAAAACAACUUCAUUGUUCUGCAAGGUGAUUAAUGCUCGACUGUCAGAAAGGUGGAAAUAAAACCGAAACUAACAACAUAUUUUAGCCUUCCGUAAUUAUGCGAACAUAUAUUAAUUCAUUUGGUAGCUCCCAGCCACAGAAAUCAGUUUUGUUUUCAUUUAAUGUGAGAGCAAUAAACAGAGAGGAAGCGGCAAAAUCACUAAACGUGAACACAGGUCACGUGGAGACUACCCACCUCCCCACUACAACUGCUCUAUGCAUCAGCCCUGGAUCUACGAAAUUUCUGAACCGGAGCAAUUUAGAUAGUGGCGCCCAGCCACACUUCUGUAGCCAGAAGCGGGAGAAAGUACUACUCAUAGGCGACUGUACUGCGCAUGCGCAAGAGCCCGCCCACAACUGCUCAAAUGAAUCAAAUGGAAACAGCUGUCAUGUCACGCUUAUCGGAGGCAAUUUGUUGUUAGGAAGCACUGCAUUUUCUUCCUAAAGGCUUUCAUACACUUUGGUUAGCAGCGCUUGUAAGAGCAUUGUGUUUUGUUGUUAUAUAUGGCACCUUUCCUAUGUGACUUAAGGUUUUUUUUUCCUCUCGUUCAUGGUUUUUUGCUGCAGCAUUAUUCUGCAGAAGCGGGAUACAGUAAUAUCCUUCGUUAGAGUAUUGGUUCUUACCAGUCAAAAUCACAAAAAUUUAACUGGUAACUAAAACAAGGAAAAGUUCCUGGAAUUCUAAAAAAUUUCCCAGGUUUUUCCCAGUUUUCCCCCAGACGAAAAACUUCCCGAGUUUUUCCCGGAUCGUAUACACCCUGCAACAGUAAUGGACAAUGCACCAUACCUCUGUUGUGAUGGCUAAAGCUCCAACAAUGUCGUGGAAGAAAGUGGAUAUUGUGCUCUGGGUACAAAUAGAUAUUUCAUUGAAUGAAGUUCAACCUAGCAUGUACAAGGUGUGAGUUAAUGAAACUUUUAGUGCUGUACAAGCCAAAAACUCCAUUGUACAAGGUCAAUAAACUGGCUAAUGUUAAAGGACAUAGUUUUAGCUGGCUUUUUCUGUACCACAUUUAAAUGAUUGGUCUCGAGCUGUCAUCCAUACCGAAAUGGUAGUUGAUGAGAUAUGGAUUCUUUAAGUACUAUUACGAGUUUUGAGUAGUACGUAACUGCUCCUAUUGCCACGUUAAAAUUGUUUCAUUUGCCAAAACAUAGCAGAGUUUACAAAUACGAAUCCUACUAACAUCUAGUGAUGCUGGAACUGUGACAGAAUACUGAAACAGUGUUAAACUUGCCAGGCAGGGCAAUAGUUUAUGAAAAAGUCCACCCUCAGAAUAAAAACCAAACUUCUGUACUUAUGUUGUUUCUCAAGAUUGCUGCCUGGCUCAAAUAUCCUUCCGGGCUUGCAGAAUAAUUCGAAGCAAUCCCUAUUUUCACUGCAAACUUUAGGAAUUUCUUGCAGUAGUGUA